AACGAACGCUGGCGGCAGGCUUAACACAUGCAAGUCGAACGCCCCGCAAGGGGAGUGGCGCACGGGUGAGUAACGCGUGGGGAACUGCCCUUUAGUUCGGAAGAACCCAGGGAAACUGGUGCUAAUACCGGAGACUACAUGUCGUCUUGGCGACUGAAUGGGAAAGAUUUAUGGAUAAAGGAUGAACCCGCGUAUGAUUAGCUAGUUGGUGAGGUAAUGGCUCAUGAAGGAGACGAUCAUUAGCUGGUCUGAGAGGACGAUCAGCCACACUGGAACUGAGACACGGUCCAGACUCCUACGGGAGGCAGCAGUGGGGAAUAUUGGACAAUGGGCGAAAGCCUGAUCCAGCCAUGCCGCGUGAGUGAUGAAGGCCUUCGGGUUGUAAAGCUCUUUUAGAUGGGAAGAUAAUGACGGUACCAUCAGAAUAAGCCCCGGCUAACUUCGUGCCAGCCGCCGCGGUAA
rnacentral:rRNA from 1 species